UAGGGAAUUUUCGGCAAUGGGGGGAACCCUGACCGAGCAACGCCGCGUGAAGGAAGAAGGAAUUCGUUCUGUAAACUUCUGUUAUAAAGGAAGAAAGACGGAUGGAGGAAAUGACAUCCGAGUGACGGUACUUUAUGAGAAAGCCACGGCUAACUACGUGCC
rnacentral:rRNA from 1 species